AUUUUUUUUUUUUUUUUCGUUGCAAAGAUGGGUUAAAAGAGAAGGGCUUUCACGAAGCUU
rnacentral:misc_RNA from 1 species